rnacentral:rRNA from 1 species
UCAGAUUGAACGCUGGCGGCAGGCUUAACACAUGCAAGUCGAGCGGAAACGAUGAUAGCUUGCUAUCAGGCGUCGAGCGGCGGACGGGUGAGUAAUACUUAGGAAUCUACCUAGUAGUGGGGGAUAGCACGGGGAAACUCGUAUUAAUACCGCAUACGACCUACGGGAGAAAGGGGGCAGUUUACUGCUCUCGCUAUUAGAUGAGCCUAAGUCGGAUUAGCUAGAUGGUGGGGUAAAGGCCUACCAUGGCGACGAUCUGUAGCUGGUCUGAGAGGAUGAUCAGCCACACCGGGACUGAGACACGGCCCGGACUCCUACGGGAGGCAGCAGUGGGGAAUAUUGGACAAUGGGGGAAACCCUGAUCCAGCCAUGCCGCGUGUGUGAAGAAGGCCUUUUGGUUGUAAAGCACUUUAAGCAGUGAAGAAGACUCCUCGGUUAAUACCCGUGGACGAUGACAUUAGCUGCAGAAUAAGCACCGGCUAACUCUGUGCCAGCAGCCGCGGUAAUACAGAGGGUGCAAGCGUUAAUCGGAAUUACUGGGCGUAAAGGGAGCGUAGGUGGCUCGAUAAGUCAGAUGUGAAAUCCCCGGGCUCAACCUGGGAACUGCAUCUGAUACUGUUGAGCUAGAGUAUGUGAGAGGAAGGUAGAAUUCCAGGUGUAGCGGUGAAAUGCGUAGAGAUCUGGAGGAAUACCGAUGGCGAAGGCAGCCUUCUGGCAUAAUACUGACACUGAGGCUCGAAAGCGUGGGUAGCAAACAGGAUUAGAUACCCUGGUAGUCCACGCCGUAAACGAUGUCUACUAGUCGUUGGGUCCCUUGAGGACUUAGUGACGCAGCUAACGCAAUAAGUAGACCGCCUGGGGAGUACGGCCGCAAGGUUAAAACUCAAAUGAAUUGACGGGGGCCCGCACAAGCGGUGGAGCAUGUGGUUUAAUUCGAUGCAACGCGAAGAACCUUACCUGGUCUUGACAUAUCUAGAAUCCUGCAGAGAUGCGGGAGUGCCUUCGGGAAUUAGAAUACAGGUGCUGCAUGGCUGUCGUCAGCUCGUGUCGUGAGAUGUUGGGUUAAGUCCCGCAACGAGCGCAACCCUUGUCCUUAGUUACCAGCGGGUUAAGCCGGGAACUCUAAGGAUACUGCCAGUGACAAACUGGAGGAAGGCGGGGACGACGUCAAGUCAUCAUGGCCCUUACGACCAGGGCUACACACGUGCUACAAUGGUAGGUACAGAGGGCAGCUACACAGCGAUGUGAUGCGAAUCUCAAAAAGCCUAUCGUAGUCCAGAUUGGAGUCUGCAACUCGACUCCAUGAAGUAGGAAUCGCUAGUAAUCGCGGAUCAGAAUGCCGCGGUGAAUACGUUCCCGGGCCUUGUACACACCGCCCGUCACACCAUGGGAGUUGAUUGCACCAGAAGUGGAUAGCUUAACCUUCGGGGAGGCGUUCACCACGGUGUGGUUGAUGACUGGGGUGAAGUCGUAACAAGGUAGCCGUAGGGGAACCUGCGGCUGG